rnacentral:rRNA from 1 species
AGCAGCCGCGGUAAUUCCAGCUCCAAUAGCGUAUAUUAAAGUUGCUGCAGUUAAAAAGCUCGUAGUUGAAUUUCGGGACUAAUAUGUCGGUCGUGCCUUGGCACGUACUGGUAUCAUUGGUUUCUCCUUUCUGACGAACCAUGAUGUCAUUUAUUUGGUGUUAUGGGGAAUCAGGACUGUUACUUUGAAAAAAAUUAGAGUGUUUAAAGCAGGCUCACGCUUGAAUACAUUAGCAUGGAAUAAUGAAAUAGGACGUUUGAUUCUAUUUUGUUGGUUUCUAGGAUCGACGUAAUGAUUAAUAGGGAUAGUUGGGGGCAUUAGUAUUCAAUUGUCAGAGGUGAAAAUUCUUGGAUUUAUUGAAGACUA